GCAUAUCAAUAAGCGGAGGAAAAGAAACCAACAGGGAUUGCCUCAGUAACGGCGAGUGAAGCGGCAACAGCUCAAAUUUGAAAUCUGGCCUCCCGGGGUCCGAGUUGUAAUUUGUAGAGGAUGUUUUGGGUACCGCCCCGGUUUAAAUUUCUUGGAACAGAAUGUCAGAGAGGGUGAGAAUCCCGUCUUGGACCGGCGGUAGGGCCUGUGUAAAACUCCUUCGACGAGUCGAGUUGUUUGGGAAUGCAGCUCAAAAUGGGUGGUAAAUUUCAUCUAAAGCUAAAUAUUGGCCAGAGACCGAUAGCGCACAAGUAGAGUGAUCGAAAGAUGAAAAGAACUUUGAAAAGAGAGUUAAACAGUAUGUGAAAUUGUUGAAAGGGAAGCGCUUGCAACCAGACUUGAGCGCGACGGUUCCCCUAGCCUUUUGGCUAGGUUACUCCGUCGUGUCCAGGCCAACAUCGGUUCUGAGGGUCGGUCAAAGGCUCUGGGAAUGUAUCUACCCACGGGUAGACUUAUAGACCAGGGUGUCAUGCGACCUCUCGGGACCGAGGAACGCGCUUCGGCUCGGAUGUUGGCGUAAUGGUUGUCAGCGACCCGUCUUGAAACACGGACC
rnacentral:rRNA from 1 species